CCAGCAUUUAAAACAGUGCCCGGCACAUAGUAGGCUCAAUAAAUAUUUUAUGGCCAAUACAUACCUUUUAUCUUGAAAUAUUCCUGUUGAAAUAGGAAGUGAUGGAUCAUUCCCAUUUCAUAAACAGAAAGGGUGAGGCACAAAGAGGGGAAGUAACUUGUCUAAGUAAAAGAUAGAUCUGGUGUUACAAUCCUGGUCCUGUGAUUUUCAGUCCAUUGUUCAAAUCUGUCUGAUAAAAUUGCUUUUUUAACAUUACAACAAGGCUGACUCAUUGCCACCACUUUCAGGAUAACACAUUGUAAAGCAGAAUCUUGAGAAGUAUCUCCUGACAUUGUCUAUAACCUUCAAUCAGUUCUAGUGCUGAAACAAUUUUGCUGUAAAUUGAGAAUCAUAAAACCACUUAAUUCCAUAGAUACCUUUUAUCCUUAUAAUCCUCAACACAACCCAAAACGGAGGCCUCUCAAAUAAUUUAGCAACUCUCAAGCCACCAUCAUGUACUGUCUUCAUCCUGCCUCAUCAGUCCACCAGUCCUAACAACACUGUUUCUAAUUGUACUGCAAGAAAACUUACUUAACUUCCCUCAUUCAUUCACUUUUAAAAGCAAGGCACACACACACACAUAUCAAAAAAUUAAGUACAGAAGAGACCAAGGGACUCAAAGUAGGCUUCUACAGUAAGUGAUAUAUAAGGUGAUCUUGACUGACUAAUAGGAAAUAGGCAGGUAAACUGGGAAGAGGGUACCUCAAGGUAAGAGGAGAAGUAGAUGGCAGAGGGAAAAGCAUGCCCGAAGACCUAGAACCAAGAGUGUACUUCAGAUCCUAGCAUAUCCAACACUUUUCCUGGAAGCCUCUCUUGAUCUCUUCCAUCUAAUUUAGGCGUUCUCCCUUUGUAUUCCUAUCCAUAG
rnacentral:lncRNA from 1 species